UACGUAGGGGCAAGCGUUAUCCGGAUUUACUGGGUGUAAAGGGAGCGCAGACGGAACUGCAAGUCUGAUGUGAAAGCCCGGGGCUCAACCGCGGGACUGCAUCGGAUACUGUGGAUCUGGAGUGCCGGAGGGGCAAGCGGAAUUCCUGGUGUAGCGGUGAAAUGCGUAGAUAUCAGGAGGAACACUGGCGGCGAAGGCGGGACUCUGGGCAGUUACUGACGCUGAGGAGCGAAAGCAUGGGUAGCGAACAGGAUUAGA
rnacentral:rRNA from 1 species